AGCAGCAACCCCUCUUUGAUUGAGCAAGCACCUGAAGCGUGCCAAUCUUGCAGCGACUGAUCCCGGGUCCUUUGCAAGCUUCUCAAUGGGAGUCCACAGCCGCUCUUCAAAUUAAUAAGUGAUUUGGGGUGCAAGGCAAGCUAGCUGCUAUUUUCCAACAAGGAUGCUAGUCAAUACAGUAUUUAUCAAGUGCCAGCCAAUAGGAUGCAAGGAGAUACCAGUUAUGCACCACGGUUUUACGAUCCAACUUGUCUCCAAAGUUGUUAAAUGUCUCUUCCCUACAAGGAUGAGAAACUGUUUGUUAAAGCUAGCUGGAAAAUUCAAAUAUGCAAAAAAACUAGUAACUCCAGUCACCCUACCAGUUAAUAAUGUCAUAACCAUGUGAUAUGGCUAUCUUUUGAGCUCUCAGUACAAAAUAUCUGUAGGCAUCAGAUUCAUUCAUGCCAUGCU